AGAAAAAGAACUUUUAGGUCUUAUUUUUAUUAGAACAAGAACUUUUAGGUCUUAUUUUUAUUAGAACAAGAACUUUUAGGUCUUAUUUUUAUUAGAAUAUCAAGUUUUAGGUCUUAUUUUUGUCAGAAUAACAACUUUUAGGUCUUACUUUUAUUAGAACAAGAAUUUUUAGGUCUUAUUUUUAUCAGAACAAGAACUUUUAGGUCUCUCUUUUAUUAGAACAAGAACUUUCAGGGCGUAUUUUUAUCAGAAUAAUAAGUUUUAGGUCUUAUUUUUAUUAGAAAAAGAACUUUUAGGGCUUAUUUUUAUUAGAACAAGAACUUUUAGGGCUCAUUUUUAUUAGAAAAACAACUUUUAGGGCUUAUUUCUCUUAGAACAAGGACUUUUAGGGCUUAUUUUUAUUAGAAUAUCAAGUUUUAGGUCUUCUUUUUAUCAGAACAAGAACUUUUAGGGCUUAUUUUUAUCAGAAUAACAACUUUUAGGACUCAUUAGAACAACUUUUAGGUCUUAUUUCUAUUAGAACAAGAACUUUUAGGGCUUAUUUUUAUCAGAAGAACAACUUUUAGGUCUUACUUUUAUUAGAACAAGAAUUUUUGGGUCAUAUUUUUAUCAGAACAAGAACUUUUCGGUCUCUUUUUUAUUAGAACAAGAACUUUUAGGAAUUAUUUUUAUUGGAAAAACAACUUUUAGGUCUCAUUUUUAUCAGAACAAGAACUUCUAGGGCUCAUUUUUAUUAAAAAAACAACUUUUAGGGCUCAUUUUUAUUAGAAAAACAUCUUUUAGGGCUUAUUUCUCUUAGAA